CAGCCAGUGUUCUCUCCCAUCCCGAGCCCCGCACCCUCUCCUUCCUUCUCUCCUCCUUUCUCCUCACCAGCCACCAAUCUGCCUUCUUGCUGCUUCAUCUCCUCCACCGCCUUGUCUCCGGCCGCCGGCCUCCCGGCCGCCCUACCUCACAACGACGUUUUCCGAGGAGCAACGCGAGCUAGGCCAGCAUACGGAAGGAGCGGAUCGAGGUCUCGCAUGCUGGCUCCGUCAUCUGCUUCGCCACGUUCUGGAUUCGCGCCGCCCCGUGCGAUGGUUCUAGAUCAGCGCAAGUCAUCGCCGCGGGAUAUCAGGGGCGGUGGGUUCUUCACGUCGAGGGCUGGCGAGCUGGGGAGGGUCAGAAGGCUAACAAGGCAUGCUAAAGAGUAGCGAGGUCAGCUGUGGGGGAGAGGCUACCUCAGAGCUUCAGGCUGCGCACGCGUCGCGAUUUGGCGGUGGGAGAGCGGUUGCCCGGAGGCCGAAGCUCGGCUGCGCACACCUCGUGGGAUUUGGUCUCACCAGGCACUCUAUGCCGGCCUCGUUGGCGUCCCGAGGUGACACAACGACGGCUGCGCUCGACACCCUCUUUCGUGACUGGUUCAACAGUGGUCCAGUGGACGGCGGCCUCAGCAGGUGGUUACGACGAGUGCAGCUGGUGUACGAGCUCUCAGUCGGCUCCUCGUCUCGGGUGCAGACUGAGAGUUGGAUGCUCUGUGCGUAUGGAAGUGCUGCACCCACUGUUGUUCCGGCUGUGAGAUCUUAUAACUUGGUGGUCCUUUUGCAACCUGGGGUCAUCCUGUUCCUAAUCACAGGUUACAGUAGUGUCAUGUAAAAUAUAUCCAAGCUCUCGUUUCUUGAAAUUAUCCAUCUGUUCUCUGAUGCACGCAGGUCACUGGAGGAAAGAGAGUCUGGCUUGCGAGUUUCGCUGAUGCGGCCAUGACGGUGAUGCCAAAUUCCGAGGAGAUACCAAAGGUGUACUGGGAGGCGGUGCUUCCUGGAAUCCCGAUGCCUCCACCUAUCAUCAACCUGCUGUUAGCCCAACAAAACGGUAUCUCUCCCUCCCUCUCUUCCCACCUUGGUGACCUCAUUUAAGUGGUUUUGAUAAUUUGUUGUACAACUUUCUCUCUUUGAUACCUACAAAUUCUUUAUAACGACUCUUAGUUUGCAAUCCAUUAUGAAACAUAAAUGAAGAUAAUAUAAGUGAAUCUUUUGUUCUAAUGAAUGAUAAAUGCUAACUUAAAGUAUAGAGACUAUCGCAUACAAUAUGAUAUCUGUACCAUAAAGGAUAAGUUAAGCUUUUCUCCACCAUGUGAACUAAGAACUUAUAAGCUAAUUUGAUAAGAAGCAUAGUACUUGUAUCAUUCGGAAAAUGACACUUUUGUAUUCCAUUUUCAGGGAUAGUCAUGUUGUGCUUUGCUUUUAUAUGAUCUAAAACUGCAUGGUUCUUGUGCAGUUCAGAUGUUCUGGGAUUAGUAUGAAUUUUACUAUAUCUGAACUUCUGAAAUUAGUACGAGUCUGACAGCCUUGCAACCAAACCAAAACUAAAACUGCAGGGAUCUUGUGACAGCCUUGCAACCAAAACUAGAACUACAAGGAUCUUGUGGAGUUCAAAGCUAGCUGUCGUUUGCUGGAAUAUCAGUUAUCUUGUUUGUGCACGAUUAACCUGCUUUUCAUGAAAAAGUAGAAUAUUUUAGGACAGACCAUCAAGUUGGUUGGCAUUUGUUUAGAUCUUUAUGAGAAGCAGCUCCUCUCAGUAGGACUUUUCGUUUUUAUUCAUCUUGCUAAUAUGAGAAUAUACUUCUUAGUUAGAUAUCAGUUACACAAUUAGAACACCAUGAAUUCACUGUUUUCUAAGUACCUUGCUGCUGUGAAUCAGUGUAAUAAACUUGGCGUACAAAACACAUGUAGAUUUUGUUUUAUUCAUCAAAUAACACAUCCAGAAUCCUUGUUAACACGGACCAUCUGAUGUGAAUCAAUGUAAUAAUCUUCUUUAUGAUUCUAUCUACCCAUAUGAACGACUCAAUUGAAUUAAUUUUCAUAAUCCAGAUGUUCUCUUUUAUUGGUUGUGGUUCUGAAUAAUUAUUGCUGCUCUCUAGAGCAGAAGCAAUGAAGCUUGAAGUUUAGAAGUUUGGGGGGUGGCAACAAUACUGCUCUUUACACUGUCUGUCGCUGUUAUUUCAUGUUUCUGAAUGUAAGUCCCGAGAACUAAGUGUCGCAUGUCGUUGAACUUUAAUGUUAUGUCAUGUCUUGUGUACUAAACUACUGUUGGAUGCUACGUUUGAGUCAAGAUAUGCUUAUGUGCGAUCGGUGUUAAAUCUGGAACAUAUUGUUAUAUUUGUCACUUGUGUGCUACCACUUCUUAUUAACUGUUAAGAAAAGAUGGGGAAUAGAUGAUGUUUUGGCAAAAGGAAAUGGCACACUAUUUUUUUACAUGACGAAACUGCAGACUGGUGGAGACUUCCUGCUAAUAUGAUAGACAUUGAUGCAUGUAAUGGGUUAUCUGCAGUAUACCUCGAUUUUGAAUGUGACAUGUCAUGUAUGUAUACGCUAAAUAAUUGAGCUGGUUGCAGCUCCGUACGUAGGGGUAUGUAAUUAGUCAGUAUAUUUUUAAACUAUUAGCUCAUCUUCUCAAAAUAAUUUUUAAUGUACAUGUAGUGUAUCUAAAGUUAGGAUCUUUCUUACAUCACAACCAAGUUUCCAUCCUACACAUAUUUAGCCUUUUACCUAAAGUGUUAUUACUUUCUCAUGUCCUGCUUGAUGUUACAUGGUGUUCAAGAAAGAAUUAUGGGUCAUUUUGUCAUGAAGCAUGAGAACGAUAAUACCACCUCAGGUGGGGAUAAAGCAAUAAAUAAAUAAAUGGGAUUUGAUUACUGAAACAGGAUAAUGUACUCUUCUCUCGAUUAUGCAUCUGUAAAAUAAAGAUUAGUUUAGAUGGUACAUCUAAAGGGCAACUUUACUGGUCAUAUUCUUCCCUUUUUCAGUUCACAUGAUUAGUGCCACAUCUUUCUUUUGUAUAGUGCUAGGCUACGGGCUGGUUUUCUCUUUACUGCUCCAGUUGGAUUAUAUCUCAAACUUAUGUUGUUGUGCCCUAUGCUGAGAUUCUCCUAGCCAGUGGAAAAGGUGCAUACUGCCUCAUCAUCUUUUUCCUUUACAUUUCUCUUCGAUUGGAAGGAGUGGAUUACUGCUGCCAAGUUCUUGGAUAAAAUGAAGAGAUGCAAGAUAUGUAUGAUGUCAUGUCAAUUAUUUUGUUUUGCAAUAAAAUGGGUAGUUCAUGUAUUCCCUACCGAGCAAGAUUUAUGUCGAAACAUAUGUAUGUGCUUCAGAGAUUUUGAAGUCUUCUGGUUAUGAGAGAUUUGUGUCACAUAAGAGAUAAAGAGGUGGUACUUAUUUUACAUUUGUUGAUUAGGGAAUUAUGAUACAGCGAUGUUUUUUAUUUGGAAUAGUCAAUGACUGCUUACUUC